AUCAACUUUCGAUGGUAGGAUAGAGGCCUACCAUGGUGGUAACGGGUAACGGGGUGUUAGGGCACGACACCGGAGAGGGAGCCUGAGAAACGGCUACCACAUCCAAGGAUGGCAGCAGGCGCGCAAAUUACCCAAUCCCGACACGGGGAGGUAGUGACAAUAAAUAACAAUACGGGGUUCUUUCGGAUUUCGUAAUUGGAAUGAGUACAAUUUAAAUCUCUUAACGAUCAACAAUUGGAGGGCAAGUCUGGUGCCAGCAGCCGCGGUAAUUCCAGCUCCAAUAGCGUAUAUUAAAGUUGUUGCAGUUAAAAAGCUCGUAGUUGAAUUUCGGGAUCAGUAGGUUGGUCAUGCCUCUGGUAUGCACUGGUCUCACUGGUUCCUCCUUCCUGAUGAACCGUAAUGCCAUUAAUUUGGUGUUGCGGGGAAACUGGACUGUUACUUUGAAAAAAUUAGAGUGUUUAAAGCAAGCUAACGCUUGAAUACAUUAGCAUGGAAUAAUGAAAUAGGACGAUCGAUCCUAUUUUGUUGGUUUCUAGGAUUGACGUAAUGAUUAAUAGGGAUAGUUGGGGGCAUUAGUAUUCAAUUGUCAGAGGUGAAAUUCUUGGAUUUAUUGAAGACUAACUACUGCGAAAGCAUUUGCCAAGGAUGUUUUCAUUAAUCAAGAACGAAAGUUAGGGGAUCGAAGACGAUCAGAUACCGUCGUAGUCUUAACCAUAAACUAUGCCGACUAGGGAUCGGAUGAUGUUAAUUUUAUAAUGACUCAUUCGGCGCCUUACGGGAAACCAAAGUGUUUGGGUUC
rnacentral:rRNA from 1 species